CAAUAGCGUGUGUUAAAGUUGUUGCAGUUAAAAAGCUCGUAGUUGGAUUUCUGGUGGGAGCGAUCGGUCUGGCGCUUAGCGCGAGUACUUGCAUCGUCUCCGGCCAUCCUUGGGGAGAGUCUGUCUGGCAUUAGGUUGUCGGGCAGAGGAUCCUCAUCGUUUACUGUGAAAAAAUUAGAGUGUUCAAAGCAGGCUUAUGCCGUUGAAUAUAUUAGCAUGGAAUAAUAAGAUAGGACUUUGGUACUAUUUUGUUGGUUUGCGCACCAAAGUAAUGAUUAAUAGGGACAGUUGGGGGCAUUCGUAUUCCGUUGUCAGAGGUGAAAUUCUUGGAUUUACGGAAGACGAACUACUGCGAAAGCAUUUACCAAGGAUGUUUUCAUUAA
rnacentral:rRNA from 1 species